rnacentral:tRNA from 1 species
UCCUUAAUAAGUUAAAAAAACUAUUGAAUUUUUACUUCAAUUUUAUCUAAAGAUUUAGGGAA